UUCCAUAACCGUUUUUAAUAUCUGGCACCACAAUUCAUCAAAUACGAGUUAAAUAACAUGAGAUAUAACAAGAUUCAUCAUCAAUAUGUCCUUUAGUAAAUUUGGCCAAAGAGGAUUGUUGAAGAGUAUGUGAUUUUCUUGCUUGUUUUUCAUGCCAAACAUCAUCAAACAACUAAAAACACUGAGAUAUCAUAAAAUCUAGCAAAAUUCAUCACCAAAACUUCCCUCUCUAGAUUUGGCCAGCAAAGGUUCCCUCUUGAAAACUUGAAUUUCAGCCAUGAAAAAUGAAAAAGAAUGCAUGGGAAAGGUAGAUCACAAGCUAAAAUUUAAAAAAUCUUACCUUUACUUGCUUGAUUCCUUGAAAUCCAACAAUUUCUCUUAAAUUUUUCCUUCCUAGGGUUU
rnacentral:lncRNA from 1 species